GAUGAACGCUAGCUACAGGCUUAACACAUGCAAGUCGAGGGGCAGCGUUUCUUUAGCAAUAAAGAAGAUGGCGACCGGCGCACGGGUGAGUAACACGUAUCCAACCUGCCCUAUACUCGGGGAUAGCCUUUCGAAAGAAAGAUUAAUACCCGAUAGUAUAAUUAGAUCGCCUGAUUUGAUUAUUAAAGAAUUUCGGUAUAGGAUGGGGAUGCGUUCCAUUAGAUUGUUGGUGGGGUAACGGCCUACCAAGUCUUCGAUGGAUAGGGGUUCUGAGAGGAAGGUCCCCCACACUGGUACUGAGACACGGACCAGACUCCUACGGGAGGCAGCAGUGAGGAAUAUUGGUCAAUGGGCGAGAGCCUGAACCAGCCAAGUAGCGUGAAGGAUGACUGCCCUAUGGGUUGUAAACUUCUUUUAUGUGGGAAUAAAAAAGGGAACGUGUUCCCUAUUGCAUGUACCACUAUGAAUAAGCAUCGGCUAACUCCGUGCCAGCAGCCGCAGUAAAAC
rnacentral:rRNA from 1 species